rnacentral:misc_RNA from 1 species
GAUGAAGAACGCAGCGAAAUGCGAUACGUAAUGUGAAUUGCAGAUUUCAGUGAAUCAUCGAAUCUUUGAACGCACAUUGCGCCCGCCAGUAUUCUGGCGGGCAUGCCUGUUCGAGCGUCAUUUCAACCAUCAAGCCCCCAGGGGCUUGUGCUGGGGCCCUGCGGCUGCCCGCAGGCCCUGAAAACCAGUGGCGGGCUCGCUAGUCACACCGAGCGCAGUAGCACAUCUCGCUCAGGGCGUGCGGCGGGCUCCUGCCGUGAAACCCCCCACUGUAACCCCAAAGGUUGACCUCGGAUCAGGUAGGAAUACCCGCUGAACUUAAGCAUAUCAAUAAGCGGAGGA